rnacentral:rRNA from 1 species
GACGAACGCUGGCGGCGUGCUUAACACAUGCCAGUCGAACGGCAAGGCCCUGCUUUUGUGGGGUUCUCGAGUGGCGAACGGGUGCGUAACACGUGAGUAACCUGCCCUUGACUUUGGGAUAACUUCAGGAAACUGGGGCUACUACCGGAUAGGAGCUCCUGCUGCAUGGUGGGGGUUGGAACGUUUCGGCGGUUGGGGUUGGACUCGCGGCUUAGCAGCUUGUUGGUGGGGUAGUGGCUUACCAAGGCUUGGACGGGUAGCCGGCCUGGGAGGGUGACCGGGCACAUUGGGCCUGAGAUACGGCCCAGACUCCUACGGGAGGCAGCAGUGGAGAAUAUAGCACAAUGGGCGGAGGCCGGAUGCAGCAACGCCGCGUGCGGGAUGACGGCCUUCGGGUUGUAAACCGCUUUCGCCUGUGACGAAGCGUGAGUGACGGUAAUGGGUAAAGAAGCACCGGCUAACUAGGG